CGGGGGCCGGUAACGUUACUUUGAACAAAUUAAAGUGCUUAAAGCAUCGAAUCGAAUAGGACCUCUGUUCUAUUUUGUUGGGUUUUUGUGGAACGACAGACGGAGGUAAUGAUCAAUGGGUGCGGAUGGGAGCAUUCGNAUUGCGACGUUNNNNNNNAAUUUCUUGGACCGUCAUAAGACGGACUUAAGCAAAAGCAUUUGCCAAAAACGCUUUCAUUGAUCAAGAACGAACAUUAGAGGCUCGAAAGCGAUCAGAUACCGCCCUAGUUCUAGCCAUAAACUAUGCCAGCUCGCCGAAGUUACUUUUAUGACUCGGCGGGCAACUUCUGAGAAACCAAAGCUUUCGGGUUCCGCGGGAAGUAUGGUAGCAAAACUGAAACUUAAAAGGAUUGACGAAAGGGCAGCACGUGGAGUAGAGCAUGCGGCUUAAUUUGACAACACGGGAAACCUCACUAGUCGCGGACACCGGAAGGAUUGACAGAUUGAGAGCUCUUUCUUGAUUCGGUGGGUGGUGGUGCAUGGCCGU
rnacentral:rRNA from 1 species